UGCAUACACAUCAGUAUUGGAAGCAGUGGGCAUGCUCAAAGUCCUACAAUAAAGCAUAACAUGUCACAGCUCCGUGUUGCCGUCACUGCAACUGCGAGACCCGAAAAAACAAAGAUGUAUGGGCUGCCGCCAAUAAAGCAUCUCUGGAGAAUAAGAGCGUUAUCAUCAUUCAGCUAUCACUGAAGGACGUGCCCACGAACCGAAGCAAUAAUAUUCUUGUAAUGAUAGCUUAGGAACAUUGCAAUCGUUCACAUUCAGCAUAAGGUGAAAUAAAGCUAAAAAAUAAUUAACAAUACACUCCACUUGUUGUCGAAGUAGUAGAGAAUACUGCUAGCUGGGUUACACUCACGUACGUGGUGUCACUUGCAGUGCUGUCACUUAGCUAUACGCCACCGCUUGGAAAGACUACUGGGAUUUUUUCUCUUUCUAGUAGGAGACAGACCACUUUCAUGCAACGGACAUUAGGGUAGUCGCUUGCUGACGGGGGUGAUCAGCCACCUGGAGGACAAACUGAGAAAUGAGAUUACACAACUGUCUUCACAGGCUACACUCACCGCACGAACUACCAGAACAGCCUGACUAUUACCAUCACGUGUCUUGACCACGAUCUUUUUCCUGUUCGGCGCAUGGAAUCCUAUCUUGGGUGAUGCAGCUGUGCUUCCAGCGUCUGCUGCUCCGUUCGUCGUGGAAACAAGUACCACACAGGAUCGGCUUUACUUUCAACCUUGGCUGGGGACGGUGACUACCCCAGUAACCAGCCCAGCAGCACCAUCGUCGUGGAUAUCACCUAAUCGGGCCGAUUUAAACGAGUGGCAUCGCCUGUCGUCCUUCAGUGGGCACGGGAGAGCAGCUACGAUGCGUUCGCCUUUCAACUCACCGCCCUUCUUUGUGCAGUUUUUCCUGUUCGGUGCAUGGAAUCCUAUCUUGGGUGACGCAGCUGUGCUUCCAGCAUCUGCUGCUCCGUUCGUCAGGAAAUAAAGACAUUUAUUUAUUA